CAGAAAACAAACGAGAACAUAGCAAGAGAUGGAAUUUAUCAGCUAUGAUGUAAUGUUGUCUGAACUGUAUUGAUGAAUUAUGAAAAUGUUGAUUGAAUUAUUGAUGCCAACAGAUACAUGGUUUACUAGAAAGCAACCAUUCGGCUUAGUGCGUCUAAGAUAUCCGAGAGGUUUCAUUCAGACUCUUUCGGACGCAUUAACAGCGGAGAAAGCUAAAUCGUAGCGUUCCCAAUGAGAUGAAAUGGUCCCGUUAUCAAGCAUUGGCGGUGAAUAGAAAGCUUUAAAUAGAUUCGCUAUGCGAAACAGUGGUUAGCCUGAAUAUCUAUGAUUUUGUGGAGAUUUCAUUUAACGAUGAGUUCGCUCAGACCUUAACAAACCGGAACUCACAAGCAACCUGUCAGGGACUUCUCCCGGUUAUCGGAAGUACCGCAGCAAGCUUGUCGCAUCGAUCGGAACCUGAAUAUGGACACUUAUUCAACAGUGUCGCCUGAAAUUUCGCCACUGCUUGCGAUAAUAAGACCUGCCUGGCGAUAAACCUCUAUUGCUUCGUUUUUGUGCCUCUGAGUCGAGAACCCCAUAAGACGUAAAUGUACACUCAAGAUUGAAAGAGAAAAUAUGUUUUCCGAUGUUUUAUAGGUUUUUCCCAUCGUUGGAAAGCACUGCCGGAUCUAUCAUCGUUACAUAUUCAAAGUAUAAUACUUGACAACUAUGGCAUAAUUUCGAAAGCGUCACCAACGGCGAACGAAGCAGCACGCUGGGCGAAUGUUGCAUACGCAAUAAAUCGCAGUAGUGGAAAUUCUGCACCGUGUUCGACGACAAGUUUACCGACGCGCAGUACGUCAAAUGAAGGACUACCGCCCGCCAUAAAACGGAAAAGAUCUUCUGCAAGGCGGCUGAAGUCAUGCGAGCAGAUCGACAUACGACAAAUAUUCAGCCUCAAAUGACACCUGGUCAAAUGGACACGCGAUCGGCGACAGCGCUUCUCCCAUCAACAGGUACUUCGUCAGGUGACCAGCUCGCUAGUGAACACGAUUGGUCAAUUUCUACAAUCAUCACAUACGUGGCAGCAGCAGCAAGCGUACACGGUGUGACCGCUUGCUGUAAACGUGCCAGUUCAAACUUGCACAUCAGCCAGACAAGCGUUCUCGAACUGUGCGCUAGUGUGGUCAAGAGAAUCAUUCGAAGUCCAAUCAAAUAAAUCCGGGCCUACAAUCGUGCGGUCGACAAUAAACACUGCUACAGCGGUCACGGCAACUGGCGCCCGGCAAAUUAGAAUCACCCCACAAAGGUAUCACACGUCUAUUGUUGGAAGUCAAAUACUAACGAAAGGUGGCUAGACACAGGUUUCAUGUAAACCAGCACGGAGGUCAUUACGGUAGACAGCUAAGGAACAGCCAACUCGUUUACUGCAAUUACCACUGCGAUUCAAAACGAUGAACCCUCCGUUGUAUAUCCAGCACUGGGAUAACAGCCGCUCGAGAAAUUAUUCGACGACCUUUGUAAUGACGAUGCUAUUAGAAACGCAGUCACUGCAUCCACCGAUCAUAUAAAUUGCACUUCUCAUCCAUCUUCUCCGAAAUCGCACUUUGUUUCAGCAUAUUUUUUUAUGUUAUUAAAUUUGUUUUACUGCUGCACGAAAUCUGCUCUGAAAAUGGGCAUCUGAGAACACUGUCACAUUUGAUACUUGUAUCCUUAGAUGAAAGGCUUCGUCUGCUCCCAGCAGCUUUAGCUUGAUGAGGACUAGAUUGUCUGGGCACGUUUUUAAAUGAGCAAAACCUAUUUGUUCAUACAUUGCAUAUUAACAUAUAUAUAUAUAUAUAAUAUAUAUAUAUAUAUAUAUAUGUAUACACUCACCUCACAACCGCUGUGUGUCGCGAAGGCUGUUCAGGGUUCACGCGUUUUUUCUGUUUGCAGUUCGAAAAUUUUUUUACACAUCAACCGUCAUGGCUGCUGGAACGUACAUUAAGGUUGUAUCCGAUAGUUUUGACGUACACGUUCCAGCCUCAUUGUGUUACGUAAACCCAAAGACCUUCUAGUCUAGAGGUAAACACCGACGACGACAUGCAUAGUGUGAAUAAGAACUGUGCCGUACGGCUGCUCUGCGGAAGCAGCAAAUUCAAAUAAUCGGCACACCAAAAACUUUAGGAACUGUCCAACCAGUUUCACAGCCUUUAAACGAAGAGCUUACGUGAAUUUUACGUUUCAUCAUUGAAUUACAUGUUUGAUAAUGAGAUAUGUGCGUGGGGUAUAAACUUGUACGGUAUGUUAACGAUACGUUUAAUGAAAUUGUGAUAUACGUCCUUUGAAAGUUUAUUUCCGAUAAGGCAAGCAAUUUCAUGUGAAGUACGUGUAAGUGGCUUCACCAAAGCCACUUACUUUCAGCUUUCAGAAACUAACGUGGAUUUCGACAGGUCAGUUUGAUCAAUGUGGCUUUAAAGAAACGUCUAAGCACAGCCCCUAUAGUUCGAUUUUUGUAAAAAAGAAAAAAGUAGUUAUUAUUAAGUGACGGCGUCGGCUUUUCUGGGCAAUACGACGUGCAGAUGGAAAAAAACACACAUUAACGAUGUGUUCACUGUACAUCUAUCUAAUCAUAAUCGCUGUUAUGAUGAUGAUGAUAAAAGGCUGAUUCCGCUUACGAGGCUGGCGUACUGCAACGGACAACUAUCGCAAACAUAAUUUAACCCUAAAUAUAGCUAAUACCUUAUAGUUACUGCACGUUUGAACACGUUUCCAAGUACACAUUAUAUUUAUACAUGUAUAUUAUUCAAGGUCUGUAUUUUCGCCUCAGGGAAAGCUGCGCGCAACACAGGGCCGUCUAGAUGAAUACUCCUUCCCCUGAGGAAGUUUAUUUUUUAUCUAUAGCACAAUGCCACAUUGACUAUUUAAGGCGAUUUACUCAAUAACGGUUGGAUUUUUUAUAUUGGAAAGUUGCUUGGUCUUCAAGUUCUACAACCAGGCCGUCUAGUACCGAAAAAGAUUUAAUUCGACACCACCUCAUGCAUAUAGAGAUCUCCUCUUAACAGGAACUUGCACAGUAUACCCUUGUAUUUUGUCGCAACAAUUAACUAAAAGUUGAAAAUACAUCAAGUCAUAUUCAACAUUUAAAUACAUCUUAUAUAGUUAUGAAAGUAAGAACAUGAGGUAAAACAACAUUACACUGUCAGAUGGUUUACCUAAUGGGUUAACAGUGCAAGUAAGCUGAAGACAAUUAAGUAGAGAACAUAAAAAAUGGCAAAAAAAUCAGUAAGUGAUCUAAAGAAUUAGCACUUUAACACCAUGCACUAGUGCGGCACGGUAUGAGAGACUACAUUGUAAAAAAAAAAAAAUCGGUACAUUGCUAAUCAUCUGCUAAUAAAAAUAAUACCACGCGGUUGGUAUUUUUCUCAGAACAAAUGAACGCACGUUGUUAUUGCCAGUAUAAAGUCAUUGCUGCUAAUGUAUUUUUGUAUUGAUCCCUGAAAGCGCCUUACUUUCGAUAUACUUUACAUCGUGCCAGUCUGUUUUUAGUGCUUCAAGUCUACUAACUGAGAACACAUACUCUGAUGACUGAGAUGACUAACUACCACAGAAUUGUUGUUACUAGUUAGAGCAAUUGAAAACAAUUGCAGCAGAUAGCAAUAAGUUGUAACGCUAGGCACAGAAAGACACAAGAAGGUGCGCUAUUAGAGAUGCCUGAACAAGACGCCAAAGCAUUAUCAGAAGAAGUAAGUUGCAGUAUGCAUGUGUUCGAUAGAUUACGCAGUCAUUCGUAACGUAGAAAUUGACAUGUAUGCGAAAAUGAGCCUUUUUUUAAAACAAAAAAAAACCAUAUCUAAUUUUUUUACCUUUGCUUCUAGUAGUAAAAAAAUCCUAUAUACGAUUUUUUUACUUAUAUAUAUAAGUAAAGAACACAAAAUCCCAAUGCCAGAGAAAGUGUAUAGAACCAUUUCGAACACUUUCUGCUCACAAAGCUGACUAGAACAUUUGCCCGACGUCAUUAAAAUGGCAAUGAACAGCACGAUAGAUAUCGCAGUUUCCCCCACAUCUGGAGUACCAGCAUGUAUCGUCGGGCUGGUGGAAAUUUGAGUUCUUUCAGUGUCUAUGACAGAACCCAUGCAGGCAAAGCGAGUGAUAACAUGUCUGUUUAAUCGGUUCGCCCCUUUGCAUUUGUUACUUUUCAUAGAAUCUGAAGCAAGCAAAUUCUCAGUAAUCUUUGUCACCGUGAGCCCAAAGCGACAAUUCAGCUUUUCGGACAGCAGCGGCGAGGACACAGCGUAGCGAUUCUGGAUCACUGUAUGUAGUUCCAGUAUUUUUUAGGGAAGGAGACUUCUGACACGAUUUAAUUGUUUGAACUUGUUUACUUGAAACUGCCGCGUGGAGCCGGGUUAGAGCUUGCUACACUUAAAACCUGUCCGAACCGCACAUCACAUUUUCCUCGGCCCUUUUAUUUGAUCAGAAACGUUUUUUAACAAGAUGGAGAACUGAAGUGAGCUUGAACUGUUCUCUUGAGCCAGGGAGCCGCCUUGAAGUGGGGCGGAUUGGCGGCGCGACCAGUGCUCUCUAGACGUCAACCAUCAGAAUCCUGCACGCCGUUUCUGUAACAUCACUUUUCUUCGCGACUCAACUGGCUCCAUCGGGACAACGCUUUCUUGCCACGUAGGCUCCUAAAACCUUACAUGAAUCCCUUUGCUAUGAAGUCUUGUUAGAGAAUCUUGAGAUCGCGGUAUUGAUCGCUCUAAAAGGCGAGGCUACAAGGGAGAACUCAAGCUCGGCUACAACUCGGUUAGAAGCUUGAAUGCCAUCUUGGCCUCCCGAGCAAGGCUGCAAGUAUAGCUGAACCACGGUCUACGCUUCUAUAAGUAAAAAAAAUACUAUAGGCUAGGGAAUUUCAAUACGAUACUGGGAGUAAGUUUUGGUAUCCAGCGUGUCAGGUACAGGGAGAAAUUAGUGAGUGCGUUCUAGGAGCUUACCCACGUCUAGCCGUCGCAACGGGGUUUGACGUUUGACUGUCCGCGCAGAUGCAGUUUGAAUAAUGGAUUCUAUCGGUAUGUGAGCACAAACGUUUGUGCCCGCGCACAGUGAAUGGCUUUGACCUCAGAGCUUCACAUUAUCUCUGGUUAUAUUCAUCGUAAAUAUAUAGAUAACCGAAUGUCCUGGAGGAGUCGUGCCGAGGUGAGACUCACUAUUCUGCAAUUAUAGCUCCCGAUCGUGUUUUGAAAAGACCUAGUGCAACGUGAAUUUGGCUAGUUGAAGCAGGCGUUGAAAUUGCUCGCAGGUAGAAUAACUCUUUCAGUCUUGUGACGAAUUACUUCACCAUUACGUACGUUGUUCCCAAAUCAACUGGUCGAACAUAGGCUGCUAUGAGACCUAGUGAAUGGCUACCUAAGACAAUGACGUUAAUCUCCACUAAGCACGACGUAAAGUCGCGUAUCUUAUGAUUGUAAAAACGGAGAAGCCUCCAUUAGGGUGGCCUGGUCUGUUGUUUUUCAGUGCAAGGCAAUGCACAGAAUAGAAACGCGUUAAGUUAAAAGGACUAGUUACUCAAGUCUAUGUUAGCACGAGGAUGUUUAUACUGUUCAGAACUUCAGGGGAGAGGGGUGCUUCUAGAAAUUUUCUGAAAUCCUUUCGAUGUAUCCUCUUAGCUAUCAUGUACGAUCGUUCAACAUUCACGCGAGAACUUCUAGCCAUCUACUUUGUAACGCGAAGCAUGUGAGUCUCAUAGCUUACUGCAUAAAACCUGAAUUCUACUGGGAGCAUUCCACUUGGCUGGUACACAAGGUGUUCUUUCGCACUAUUUGAUAAUAAUAACAAUAAUAAUAAAAAGAGACUUAAUUAGAUAUCUAAUAAAUAACUAUCUUAAUAAAGAGACGUUAAUUAGAUAUCGAAUUAAGCUAGCGCUAAAAAGAAAUGAGUUAAAAAAUUCACAUGAUGGUAUAAAAACUUUCUGAAUAGCAAAACAAAGAAAUACAACCAGAAUAACUAAUGUCCCGAACCUAUAACAAACAGUAAGAACCCAUGAGAAGGCCGUAUUAAUGAAGCGUUAACUUUUGAAAUUACGACGUGAGUCAAAAAGAAAACCAUCCUAAAAGUGCGUCGUAUAAAUAGUAAAACGUGUAUUUAGACACACGUUUGAUAUUGUUAAUAUGCUGCAACUAAACUUGCAACAUCAUGUGGAUUAGUGCUAAGCACACAGUUGCCUUUUUAUAUAUUUUUUACCGUUUGCGCCACAAGCUGUACAUUUAUUUACUUAUUCUAGUAUUUAAAGGACAAGGUGUCUGGGAUUAUGCACUUAUCCGAAGACUUAAAAUUUUCUCCGUAGCCCGUGCCACGUUUGCAGAAAAGCUCCCCAUAAAGCGUCAAGAUAAAGAGGCCAUACUUGAUAAAUGUCU